GAUGAACGCUGGCGGCGUGCCUAACACAUGCAAGUCGAGCGAACGAACGGGAAGCUUCCCUCUCUGAUUCUAACGUCGGAUGGGUGAGGAACACGUGGAUAACCUACCUAUAAGACUAGCAUCCCUUCACGAAAGCGUAGCCACUACCGGCCGAGAUUUAGAACCGCUUGGAUCUUCAGAGGACGACUUACUAGCUUUCACUCAUCGGUGGUACCGCGUUGGAUUAGCUAGUUGGUACGGUAUCGGCAUACCAAGGCAAAGAUGCAUAGCCGACCUGAGAGGGUGAUCGGCCACACUGGAACUGAGACACGGUCCAGACUCCUAAGGGAGGCAGCAGUAGGGAAUCUUACGCAAUGGGGGAAAGCCUGAUGGAGCAAAGCCGCGUGAGUGAUGAAGGUCUUCGGAUGGUAAAGCUCUGUAAGUAGGGAUGAAGAAAAGUGUAAUUAUCUGUGCAGAUCUUGACGGUACCAAAGGAGAAAGCCCCGGCUAACUACGUG
rnacentral:rRNA from 1 species